UACGUAGGGUCCGAGCGUUACUCGGAAUUACUGGGCGUAAAGCGUGCGCAGGCGGUUUUGUAAGCCCGAUGUGAAAUCCCCGGGCUUAACCUGGGAAUGGCAUUUGGGACUGCAAAGCUGGAGUACGGCAGAGGGAGGUGGAAUUCCACGUGUAGCAGUGAAAUGCGUAGAGAUGUGGAGGAACACCGAUGGCGAAGGCAGCCUCCUGGGCUAGUACUGACGUUCAUGCACGAAAGCGUGGGGAGCAAACAGG
rnacentral:rRNA from 1 species